AGCAGCCGCGGUAAUUCCAGCUCCAAUAGCGUAUAUUAAAGUUGUUGCAGUUAAAAAGCUCGUAGUUGAAUUUCGGGGUUAGUAGGUUGGUCGUGCCACUGGUACGUACUGGUCUCACUGACUCCUCCUUCCUGAUGAACUGUAAUGCCAUUAAUUUGGUGUUGCAGGGAAACUGGACUGUUACUUUGAAAAAAUUAGAGUGUUUAAAGCAAGCUAACGCUUGAAUACAUUAGCAUGGAAUAAUGAAAUAGGACGUUCGAUCCUAUUUGUUGGUUCUAGGAUUGACGUAAUGAUUAAUAGGGAUAGUUGGGGCAUUAGUAUUCAAUUGUC
rnacentral:rRNA from 1 species